rnacentral:rRNA from 1 species
ACUCCUACGGGAGGCAGCAGUGGGGAAUAUUGCACAAUGGGCGCAAGCCUGAUGCAGCCAUGCCGCGUGUGUGAAGAAGGCCUUCGGGUUGUAAAGCACUUUCAGUUGUGAGGAAAGGUUAGUCGCUAAUAUCGGCUAGCUGUGACGUAGCAACAGAAGAAGCACCGGCUAACUCCGUGCCAGCAGCCGCGGUAAUACGGAGGGUGCGAGCGUUAAUCGGAAUUACUGGGCGUAAAGCGCGUGUAGGUGGCUUGUUAAGCCAGAUGUGAAAGCCCCGGGCUCAACCUGGGG